rnacentral:rRNA from 1 species
CAUGCAAGUCGAACGAAGCACUUUAUUACAAUUUCUUCGGAAUGACGAUUUAGUGACUGAGUGGCGGACGGGUGAGUAACGCGUGGGUAACCUGCCUUAUACAGGGGGAUAACAGUUAGAAAUGACUGCUAAUACCGCAUAAGCGCACAGGAUUGCAUGAUCUGGUGUGAAAAACUCCGGUGGUAUAAGAUGGACCCGCGUCUGAUUAGCUGGUUGGUGAGGUAACGGCCCACCAAGGCGACGAUCAGUAGCCGACCUGAGAGGGUGACCGGCCACAUUGGGACUGAGACACGGCCCAAACUCCUACGGGAGGCAGCAGUGGGGAAUAUUGCACAAUGGGGGAAACCCUGAUGCAGCGACGCCGCGUGAGCGAAGAAGUAUUUCGGUAUGUAAAGCUCUAUCAGCAGGGAAGAAAAAAAUGACGGUACCUGACUAAGAAGCCCCGGCUAACUACGUGCCAGCAGCCGCGGUAAUACGUAGGGGGCAAGCGUUAUCCGGAUUUACUGGGUGUAAAGGGAGCGCAGGCGGUGCGGCAAGUCUGAUGUGAAAGCCCGGGGCUCAACCCCGGGACUGCAUUGGAAACUGUCGUACUUGAGUAUCGGAGAGGUAAGUGGAAUUCCUAGUGUAGCGGUGAAAUGCG